GAUGAACGCUGGCGGCGUGCCUAAUACAUGCAAGUCGAGCGAACAGACGAGGAGCUUGCUCCUCUGACGUUAGCGGCGGACGGGUGAGUAACACGUGGAUAACCUACCUAUAAGACUGGGAUAACUUCGGGAAACCGGAGCUAAUACCGGAUAAUAUAUUGAACCGCAUGGUUCAAUAGUGAAAGACGGUUUUGCUGUCACUUAUAGAUGGAUCCGCGCCGCAUUAGCUAGUUGGUAAGGUAACGGCUUACCAAGGCAACGAUGCGUAGCCGACCUGAGAGGGGGAUCGGCCACACUGGAACUGAGACACGUUCCAGACUCCUACGGAGGGCAGCAGUGGGGAAUCUUCCGAAAUGGGCGAAAGCCUGACGGGGCAACGCGGCGUGGGUGAUGAAGGUCUUCGGAUCGUAAAACUCUGUUAUAAGGAAAGAACAAAUGUGUAAGUAACUAUGCACGUCUUAAGGGAACCUAAUCAGAAAGCCACGGCUAACUACGU
rnacentral:rRNA from 1 species